CCCUACGGGACGCAGCAGUGAGGAAUAUUGGUCAAUGGUCGGGAGACUGAACCAGCCAAGCCGCGUGAGGGAUGAAGGUACAGAGUAUCGUAAACCUCUUUUGUCAGGGAACAAAGGCGGGGACGCGUCCCCGGAUGAGUGUACCUGAAGAAAAAGCAUCGGCUAACUCCGUGCCAGCAGCCGCGGUAAUACGGAGGAUUCAAGCGUUAUCCGGAUUUACUGGGUUUAAAGGGUGCGUAGGCGGGAUGCCAAGUCAGCGGUAAAAAAGCGGUGCUCAACGCCGUCGAGCCGUUGAAACUGGGGUU
rnacentral:rRNA from 1 species